rnacentral:rRNA from 1 species
UUGAACGCUGGCGGUAUGCUUAACACAUGCAAGUCGAACGGAAACGAUGUUAGCUUGCUAACAGGCGUCGAGUGGCGGACGGGUGAGUAACGCGUAGGAAUCUGCCUGAUAGUGGGGGAUAGCCCGGAGAAAUCCGGAUUAAUACCGCAUAAUCUACACGUAGUAAAGGAGGCCUCUAUUUAUAAGCUUUCGCUAUCAGAUGAGCCUGCGUAAGAUCAGCUAGUUGGUGGGGUAAAAGCCUACCAAGGCAACGACGGAUAGCUGGUCUGAGAGGACGAUCAGCCACACUGGGACUGAGACACGGCCCAGACUCCUACGGGAGGCUGCAGCAGGGAAUAUUGUGCAAUGAGCGAAAGCUUGACACAGCGACACCGCGUGUGGGAUGACGGUUCUAGGAUUGUAAACCACUUUCAGGAGGGAAGAAAAUGACGGUACCUCCACAAGAAGACCCGGCCAACUAUGUGCCAGCAGCCGCGGUAAUACAUAGGGGUCAAGCGUUGUCCGGAUUUAUUGGGCGUAAAGAGCUCGUAGGCGGUUCAACAAGUCGGUCGUAAAAGUUUAGGGCUCAACUCUAAAAUGUCGAUCGAUACUGUUGUGACUAGGAUACGGUAGAGGUGAAUGGAAUUUCCGAGUGUAGCGGUGAAAUGCGUAGAUAUUCGGAGGAACACCAAUUGCGAAGGCAGUUCACUGUACCGUGAUCGACGCUGAGGAGCGAAAGCUAGGGGAGCAAACAGGAUUAGAUACCCUGGUAGUCCUAGCUGUAAACGAUGGAUACUAGAUGUAGGAACUGGAUUGACGGUUUCUGUAUCGUAGCUAACGCGUUAAGUAUCCCGCCUGGGGAGUACGGUCGCAAGACUAAAACUCAAAGGAAUUGACGGGACCCCGCACAAGCGGCGGAGCAUGCGGCUUAAUUCGAUGAUACCCGUAGAACCUUACCUGGACUUGACAUAUAGGGAAAAACUGGAGAAAUCCAGUGUGCGUAAGCGCCCUUUACAGGUGGUGCAUGGCUGUCGUCAGCUCGUGUCGUGAGAUGUUGGGUUAAGUCCCGCAACGAGCGCAACCCCUGUCCUAUGUUGCCAGCAAGUAAUGUUGGGGACUCAUAGGAGACUGCCGGUGAUAAACCGGAGGAAGGUGGGGAUGACGUCAAGUCAUCAUGCCCCUUAUGUCCAGGGCUGCACGCAUGCUACAAUGGCAAGUACAACGAGUCGCAAUACCGCGAGGUGGAGCAAAUCUCUUAAAGCUUGUCUCAGUUCGGAUAGGAGUCUGCAACUCGACUCCUUGAAGUUGGAGUCGCUAGUAAUCGCAAAUCAGCAAAGUUGCGGUGAAUACGUUCUCGGGGUUUGUACACACCGCCCGUC